rnacentral:rRNA from 1 species
AGAGUUUGAUCCUGGCUCAGGAUGAACGCUGGCGGUAUGCUUAACACGUGCAAGUCGGACGGGAAGUGGUGUUUCCAGUGGCAGACGGGUGAGUAACGCGUAAGAACCUGCCCUUGGGAGGGGAACAAUAGCUGGAAAUGACUGCUAAUACCCCAUAGGCUGAGGAGAAAAAGGGGGAAUCUGCCCAAGGAGGGGCUCGCGUCUGAUUAGUUAGUUGGUGAGGCAAUGGCUUACCAAGGCGACGAUCAGUAGCUGGUCUGAGAGGAUGAUCAACCACGCUGGGACUGAGACAUGGCCCAGACUCCUACGGGAGGAAGCAGUGGGGAAUUUUCUGCAAUGGGCGACAGCCUGAUGGAGCAAUGCCGCGUGAAGGCAAAAGGCCCACGAGUCAUGAACUUCUUUUCUCGGAGAAGAAAAAUGACGGUCCCUGAGGAAUAAGCAUCAGCUAAAUCUGUGCCAGCAGCCGCGGUAAU